rnacentral:rRNA from 1 species
CUGCAGUCGAGCGAGACCAGGGCUUCGGCCCUGGGGAAAGCGGCGAACGGGUGAGUAACACGUGAGUAAUCCACCCUCGGUACCGGGAUAGCCCGGGGAAACCCGGAUUAAUACCGGAUGGCCCGACAGCCUCUCGAGGCGGUCGGAAAAGAUAGCUUCGGCCUUCGACCGAGGACGAGCUCGCGGCGGAUUAGCUUGUUGGCGGGGUAACGGCCCACCAAGGCGACGAUCCGUAGCUGGUCUGAGAGGACGAUCAGCCACACUGGGACUGAGACACGGCCCAGACUCCUACGGGAGGCAGCAGUGGGGAAUCUUGCGCAAUGGGCGAAAGCCUGACGCAGCGACGCCGCGUGCGGGAAGAAGGCCUUCGGGUUGUAAACCGCUUUCAGGAGGGACGAAGCCACUCGGGUUAAUAGCCCAGAGGGUGACGGUACCUCCAGAAGAAGCCCCGGCUAACUACGUGCCAGCAGCCGCGGUAAUACGUAGGGGGCAAGCGUUGUCCGGAUUUAUUGGGCGUAAAGAGCGUGUAGGCGGCCAUACAGGUCCGUUGUGAAAACUGGAGGCUUAACCUCCAGACGUCGAUGGAAACCGUAUGGCUAGAGUCCGGAAGAGGAGAGUGGAAUUCCUGGUGUAGCGGUGAAAUGCGCAGAUAUCAGGAAGAACACCCGUGGCGAAGGCGGCUCUCUGGGACGGUACUGACGCUGAGACGCGAAAGCGUGGGGAGCGAACAGGAUUAGAUACCCUGGUAGUCCACGCCGUAAACGAUGGGUGCUAGGUGUGGGGGGUGUCGACUCCCUCCGUGCCGCAGCUAACGCAUUAAGCACCCCGCCUGGGGAGUACGGCCGCAAGG